rnacentral:sRNA from 1 species
UAGCUCAGUUGGUAGAGCAGUUGACUUUUAAUCAAUUGGUCGCAGGUUCGAAUCCUGCACGACCCACCAAUCUUUAAUGAUGGUAACUGGUAGAAACGUGAAGGAUAACGUUGCGACAGCGACGGCCCGAAGGGCGAGGCGAAGCUGAGUCAUCCUGCACGACCCACCA